AUUGAACGCUGGCGGCAGGCCUAACCCAUGCAAGUCGAACGAGUGGCGGACGGGUGAGUAAUGUCUGGGAAACUGCCUGAUGGAGGGGGAUAACUACUGGAACCGGUAGCUAAUACCGCCUACCAUCGGAUGUGCCCAGAUGGGAUUAGGUAGUUGGUUGGGUAACGGCUCACCAAGGCGAGGAUCCAUAGCUGGUCUGAGAGGAUGACCAGCCACACUGGAAAGGUGACACUGUCCAGAGUCCUACGUGAGGCAGCAGUGGCGAAUAUUGCACAAUGGGCGCAAGCCUGAUGCAGCCAUGACGCGUGUAUGAAGAAUGCCUUCGGGUUGUAAAGUUCUUUCAGCGGGGAGGCGUUACCCGCAGAAGAAGCACCGGCUAGCUCCGUGCCAGCAGCCGCGGUAAUUC
rnacentral:rRNA from 1 species